UCCUAGCCCUAAACGAUGUUCACUAGGUGUUAAAGGUAUCGACCCCUUUAGUGCCGCAGCUAACGCGUUAAGUGAACCGCCUGGGAAUUACGAUCGCAAGAUUAAAACUCAAAAGAAUUGACGGGGGCCCGCACAAGCGGUGGAGCAUGUGGUUCAAUUCGAUGCUACGCGAACAACCUUACCUGGGUUUGACAUGCUAGUAGUAGAAACCCGAAAGGGCAACGAUCUACCUUUGGUAGAAGCUAGCACAGGUGCUGCAUGGCUGUCGUCAGUUCGUGUCGUGAGAUGUUGGGUUAAGUCCCACAACGAACGCAACCCCUAU
rnacentral:rRNA from 1 species